rnacentral:rRNA from 1 species
UACGGGGGGGGCAAGCGUUGUUCGGAAUCACUGGGCGUAAAGGGCGCGUAGGCGGCUUUGUAAGUCGGGGGUGAAAGCCUGUGGCUCAACCACAGAAUUGCCUUCGAUACUGCAUGGCUUGAGACCGGAAGAGGUAAGUGGAACUGCGAGUGUAGAGGUGAAAUUCGUAGAUAUUCGCAAGAACACCAGUGGCGAAGGCGGCUUACUGGUCCGGUUCUGACGCUGAGGCGCGAAAGCGUGGGGAGCAAACAGG